UUCUGGCUGAAUGGGAUGUGGUUGCGCCACACUGAGUGGAGCCGACAAGCGCCAGGCUGCACAGAUCAGGGACUCAAGGGUGGAGAGACCCUGGGCCGGACACCGCGAAGCUCUGAUGGCUUUGCAGGGCAGAGCCACCAAGCCAGGCUGGACUUUUAUGAGAGAGGGAGAAGUACAGACAUUUUCAUGGCUGGGUCUCUGGCGCACACUGCUGGACCCCGAGACUAGUAUCUCUAGCUAGCACAAAACAAGGGCUUCUCUCUUCGGGAGUUGUGUCCAGGGGGUGAGUCAGGCCUUUCUCAGUCUAAGCUCGGUAGCCAGAAGAUGAAGCCUCAGCUCACGUGUCCGGAUCAAACGGGUCCCCGUUGACCCAGUGGAAUUCGUCCCCAACUCUGCGUAGUCCAAUCCAGGGCUCCCUCCGCGUGAACUUGAACAUAAAUUCCUGCACCGAGGAAAAAGGGACACCUCAGGGUCAGAUGCGGUCUCCUGACUGCUGUCACAUCCCAAGACAAACCUCAGCUUGGAAGAUACUGGCUCUCGGGAUGUACAGACGCCAGGAGAGUGACUGUUGUCUCGCUGAAUCCCGCAAGUAAGGAGCUAGGUUACAGGAUCCUCUGCAGUCACGCUGCCAGAAUUCGGCUCCAAGCUGCUGGCUGACCUCACAGCAGUUGCCUCCGACAGCUUGAAAGGGACCCUGGCUGUGUGUGCAUGCCACUGGCCAGGAAGGCUGUACAGGGCUUGUCCUCCUGGCUCAGCAGGACAGCAUUCCUGAUUUGCAGGAAGCUUGGGGAUUGCCCACUGGUUGGAUGAUCUGGGACAAAUCUCAAUGCUCAGGGUUGCUCUCCAUCCUGCCUGCUCGCUGCAAUGUCCCCAUGUUACCACUGAAUCGCUGCCACCAGGACAGACCGGGAC
rnacentral:lncRNA from 10 species